rnacentral:rRNA from 1 species
GACGAACGCUGGCGGCGUGCUUAACACAUGCAAAUCGAACGGAAAGGCCCUGCUUUUGUGGGGUGCUCGAGUGGCGAACGGGUGAGUAACACGUGAGUAACCUGCCCUUGACUUUGGGAUAACUUCAGGAAACUGGGGCUAAUACCGGAUAGGAGCUCCUGCUGCAUGGUGGGGGUUGGAAAGUUUCGGCGGUUGGGGAUGGACUCGCGGCUUAUCAGCUUGUUGGUGGGGUAGUGGCUUACCAAGGCUUUGACGGGUAGCCGGCCUGAGAGGGUGACCGGCCACAUUGGGACUGAGAUACGGCCCAGACUCCUACGGGAGGUAGCAGUGGGGAAUAUUGCACAAUGGGCGGAAGCCUGAUGCAGCAACGCCGCGUGCGGGAUGACGGCCUUCGGGUUGUAAACCGCUUUCGCCUGUGACGAAGCGUGAGUGACGGUAAUGGGUAAAGAAGCACCGGCUAACUACGUG